rnacentral:rRNA from 1 species
UACGGAGGGGGCUAGCGUUGUUCGGAAUUACUGGGCGUAAAGCGUACGUAGGCGGCUUUGUAAGUUAGAGGUGAAAGCCCGGGGCUCAACUCCGGAAUUGCCUUUAAGACUGCAUCGCUUGAAUCAUGGAGAGGUGAGUGGAAUUCCGAGUGUAGAGGUGAAAUUCGUAGAUAUUCGGAAGAACACCAGUGGCGAAAGGCGA